rnacentral:rRNA from 1 species
AUUGAACGCUGGCGGCAGGCUUAACCCAUGCAAGUCGAGCGAGCGGCGGACGUGUGAGUUAUGUCUGGGAAACUUCCUGGUGGAGGGGUAUAACUACUGGAAACUAUAGCUGAUACCUCAUACACUCAGCUGUCCCCAUAUGGGUUUAGCUAGUAGGUGGGGUAAUCGUUCACCUAGGCGACUAUCCCUAGCUGGUCUGAGAGGAUGACCAGCCAAACUGGAACUGAGACACGGUCCAGACUCCUACGGGAGGCAGCAGUGGGGAAUAUUGCACAAUGGGCGCAAGCCUGAUACAGCCAUGCCGCGUGUGUGAAGAAGGCCUUCGGGUUGUAAAGCACUUUCAGCGAGGAGGCGUUACUCGCAGAAGAAGCACCGGCUAACUCCGUGCCAGCAGCCGCGGUAAUUC